rnacentral:rRNA from 1 species
GACGAACGCUGGCGGCGUGCCUAAUACAUGCAAGUCGAACGCUUCUUUCCUCCCGAGUGCUUGCACUCAAUUGGAAAGAGGAGUGGCGGACGGGUGAGUAACACGUGGGUAACCUACCCAUCAGAGGGGGAUAACACUUGGAAACAGGUGCUAAUACCGCAUAACAGUUUAUGCCGCAUGGCAUAAGAGUGAAAGGCGCUUUCGGGUGUCGCUGAUGGAUGGACCCGCGGUGCAUUAACUAGUUGGUGAGGUAACGGCUCACCAAGGCCACGAUGCAUAGCCGCCCUGAGAGGGUGAUCGGCCACACUGGGACUGAGACACGGCCCAGACUCCUACGGGAGGCAGCAGUAGGGAAUCUUCGGCAAUGGACGAAAGUCUGACCGAGCAACGCCGCGUGAGUGAAGAAGGUUUUCGGAUCGUAAAACUCUGUUGUUAGAGAAGAACAAGGACGUUAGUAACUGAACGUCCCCUGACGGUAUCUAACCAGAAAGCCACGGCUAACUACGUG